CAAUAGCGUAUAUUAAAGUUGUUGCAGUUAAAAAGCUCGUAGUUGAAUUUCGGGUCCCCGCGCUCGGCGCUUCAUUGUGCCGUCGUGGUGUCCCUCCUCGCCGUAAGGCGUCCUUUACUGUGAAAAAAUUAGGGUGUUCAAAGCAGGCAAUCGCUUGAAUACAUUAGCAUGGAAUAAUAAGAUAGGAUCUUGUCUAUUUUGUUGGUUGCGGACAACGAUAAUGAUUAAUAGGGAUAGUUGGGGGUGUCCGUAUUGAGCUGUCAGAGGUGAAAUUCUUGGAUUUGCUCAAGACGAACUACUGCGAAAGCAUUCACCAAGGAUGUUUUCAUUAA
rnacentral:rRNA from 1 species